UCCGACAAUAACGUGCACGGUGUCAUAGAACUACAUUUAAAUAAAUUAAAUGUAUGAUUUAAUAAUAAUUUAAUUAGAUUUAAGUUAUUUAUUUAUGCAAUGUUCUAAUUUUAUAUGAUUAUUUAUGUAAAUUCUGCGUGACUGUGACGUGUUUUAAUGCGUGCGUGCUGAACGUUCGAGCCGCGUUGGUUCAAACACUGGAGCGGAGGGAGUUGCCAUGGAAACGGAGCGGCAACACAACGACUGACAAGCAGGAAGCUCCGAUUCUCGCUGCUGUUUUUACUGUUUUCGAAGAAAAACAAAAGCACGGCAAGAUGGGAGGCUCCAAGAUUUCACAAUUUCUGAAGGGAGCCGCAGAUGGAGAAGUAAGGAACACAAGUGAACAGACUCAGAGCGGACCUCCUGUCGGACAACAUCUCCCAGGCACAAUGAACAAUAUGGUUGGUUACUAGAGAUUACACCAGUUCCAGUUUGGAUCCAGCCUGGCGUGUGAAGACGCCAACACUCAAAGACUUCAGAUGAUGGCAACUAGAUGAACAUACAAAGCUGCCAAAUAAUCCUUAUAUUGUAAUCAUUGCCCUAAAAGGGAGAAACUUGUCAACAAAUCUACCUCACAGCGCAUCAAUGAAAGCAGUUUGGCAAUUACAGACGGGCGUGUUGGAUCAGGGUUAGAUCUGAAUUCUGCAGGGAGAAACUUGUCAACAAAUCUACCUCACAGCGCAUCAAUGAAAGCAGUUUGGCAAUUACAGACGGGCGUGUUGGAUCAGGGUUAGAUCUGAAUUCUGCAGGGAGAAACUUGUCAACAAAUCUACCUCACAGCGCAUCAAUGAAAGCAGUUUGGCAAUUACAGACGGCGUGUUGGAUCAGGGUUAGAUCUGAAUUCUGCAGGUUUUCUGGAUUCCCAGUUGAAGACAUCAGUACAUCAGAUGUUGGCCUGGACAGCUGUAUCUACAGUACACCACACUGACCUCUGCUUUUGCAUAGAUGGCUGACUACUACCAUAGUAUUAUUGGUAUUAUGUUCUAAGGCAGAGGUACUCAAGUUCAGAGGCCAAGCGGGCCGCAUUUAAACUACAUAUUGCUAUAAUAUAAAGCACAAAUUACAAUUUGCAUCAUCAGACUUUAUUUAAGACAAUAUUUGCAGAUUUACUGAUUUAGAAAUACAGUUUAUUACUUAUCUAAGUCUUGCUUGUCCUUGUCCUAUUUAAAAUAAGACUGAGCAUGAAAUAAAUAUUAUUUUAUAU